GGGCAACAAAAACUUUGGCACAGUGCUGGGCAUAUACAUAGGCACUGCAUUUGAUGGUCUAUCUGGCGGCGGUGGAGCGGUGAAUAAUGGACAAUUUAUAGGAAAUCUGCUCGGCACAGUUUACGCUCAACUCAGUGCAGAUCCCGAUGAUGAUGACUUGCGUCCCAAUCCUUUACUAUUUGCGCGCAAUCUUAUUAGCAGUUUUGUAGAAGCAAAAAAUCGCAAGGAAUCCGACGAGGAGGGCGACGACGAGCGCCGCUCUGAUUCAUGGCAUUCG